GCCUCCUGCAGUCCACAGACCCGGGCAGGUGGAGUUGGGGCCAACAGUCUCAAGGCAGCGAAUCCCCUACCCCCAGCAUGGAGAGAGAGCCACCUCCAGGCACACAGCCAGACGCACAGUAUAAAGAGGCCACCAGGGGCACACUUGAGUCAGUAAGUUAAGGGGGAGCAUUAUUCUCUCCCAUUUCCAUUUCACUCGGCACUGGCGGUUUUCUAAGGUGCUUUCAUCCUGUGUCCUUGAACUGCUUCCAUCACUCUUAGUCUCAGCAGGAGGAGAUGCCCAGCCAGCUCUGUGUGUGGAAUGGAUUCUCAGUGGGCCAGCUCCUGCAUGUUGGUGUGUUGGUGCAUGUUAGACUGCCAUUCAGCAAAAGGCAAGACUCUGCCUCCACUCUGAGUAUUCUGGAAAAUGUAAGUAAU
rnacentral:lncRNA from 1 species